rnacentral:rRNA from 1 species
CCUACGGGUGGCAGCAGUGAGGAAUAUUGGUCAAUGGACGAGAGUCUGAACCAGCCAAGUCGCGUGAAGGAUGACUGCCCUAUGGGUUGUAAACUUCUUUUAUAUGGGAAUAAAACAGGGUAUGCAUACCCUCUUGUAUGUACCAUAUGAAUAAGGAUCGGCUAACUCCGUGCCAGCAGCCGCGUUAUGACGGAGGAUCCGAGCGUGAUCCGGAUUUAUUGGGUUUAAGGGGCGCGUAGGCCGGCUUUUAAGUAAGUUGUGAAAGUCCGCGGCUCAACCGUGGAAUUGCAGUUGAAACUGGAGGCCUUGAGUGCACACAGGGAUGCCUGAA